AUGGAGAAACCACUGCUGCUCAUCCUCAUUAUGACAACAGAUAUUGUGGCUGAUCAACUCACCCCUGCUAAAUCCGAUGUAAAAAGUCUGGAAGGGAACUCUACGAAGUUGGAGUGUUUAUAUACAACAAGCAGUGAGAAUGUUUUGCUUUACUGGUACAAGCAGUAUCCAAAUGAAGCACCUCAGUAUAUACUAUACAAAGGAGCAAGAUCAUGGAGUGGUGAAAAAAAUAUUCCUGACCCUCAGCAUUAUGAUUCCACAACAUCCAGCACAUCUACUGAGCUCAUCAUUACAGUUCUGUCUGUGGCAGACACAGCUCUCUACUACUGUGCCCUGAGGACCCCAGUGAUACAAACUCACUGAAAAACUGAACAAAAACCUAAACAUAGAUAAUA